rnacentral:rRNA from 1 species
UACGAAGGGGGCUAGCGUUGUUCGGAAUUACUGGGCGUAAAGCGCGCGCAGGCGGUCUUCCAAGUCAGUGGUGAAAGCCUGGAGCUCAACUCCAGAAUUGCCUUUAAGACUGCAUCGCUUGAAUCCAGGAGAGGUGAGUGGAAUUCCGAGUGUAGAGGUGAAAUUCGUAGAUAUUCGGAAGAACACCAGUGGCGAAGGCGGCUCACUGGACUGGUAUUGACGCUGAGGUGCGAAAGCGUGGGGAGCAAACAGG